rnacentral:rRNA from 1 species
AUGGUGGAUUACCGCCGCAUGGGAAUUAUGGAGCAGCACUACUCGCGGAAUGCAACAUCAACAACAUCCUUCCUGCAUCAGCUGAGAGGUCUGUGGAAGAGCCCAAGGGGGACGGUACUUCGUGUAGAGGCUUUGGCACUGGCGGCUAUUGCCUUCUCUUUCUUGCUUGUUGCAUUGGGAGCCUGCCGCCGUUGGUCUAAGCGCUGGAUCAUCCAAAAAGGCUUCUUGGCUGCAAAUGUGUUAUCUAUAUCCCUUGGGACAUACAGUAUUGGUCUAAUGCAAUCCUCUUCGGUGAAGAGCGAGAUGUAUCCCGUAUGGGCCGUGUCCUUGCUCACCCUCUUCGGCUGCGUCGACCCAGUUACUUCCUACAACGGUCUUGACUACAAGGGCCCACUCUCAAAGAUGAUAUUUCAGCUCUGCCUAUAUUGUGGAUAUGUCCUGCUGAUGAGUAUCUCAACCAUCUCCAGUGAUGUUGGUAACAUAGCCAUCGGUGUGCUGUCUGCUGUCAACUUUUUCAAGGGCUUUCAUAGGUCGUUGGCGCUUGUGCUGCCAAGAAGAAUGCGAAAAAUGAUAAGGCACCUUAAAUCUGAUGCCGAAACAAAUGCUAUAUCAGAUCUUGAUGAUUAUGACUAUGCAAUAGUAUCAGACUUGGUAGUUGAUUUCCCCCUAGACAUGGAUGACCCAAAGCAGAGCUUUUAUUCAAUAUUAGUGCGUGAUGGAGUUUUGAGGAAUAAUAUCAGUUCGAGCUGCGAAGACAUGGUUAAGCUACGGAUAAAUGUCGGUGACUGUCAUGAUGUGUGCACUGCCUUCGCUCUGUCUCAUUUGUUGCAACGGCAUUUCAUUGGAUUGAGUGACGCUUCGGAAAGGAAGAACGAUAUUUCAUAUCAGAUUGCUUCAGACUUCAAUCGAGCCUUUAAGGUGAUUGAGGUUGAGCUGGCUUUUCUAUACGAUAUCUUCUUCACAGGUAAUGCAUUCCUUCACUACUAUCAAGCAAAGACUGCUAGUUUCUGGGCAUUCGCUUCAUUCAUCGGAAUAUGUUUUGUUGGGGUGGCGGCUGCCAUCCCUGGGACGAUGACUAGCCGCCAUAGUGCUUCUCUUGGUCCUGGUGCUGGCACCAUCACGACAGCAGAUCUCACCGUUACUCUUGUCAUAUUGGUGUCCCUGGCUCUGCUGCAAUUGUUGCAACUAAUCCGGUGCUGGACAUCAAAUUGGGCGAGAGUUGCAUUUGCCUGUGGGCACGCCAGGAACAUGCAGAAAGGAACCAGACAGCCGCUAUGGUGGAUGAGAUUGAAAGGGUUUCUAGUCACCAGGAUUAAUUGGUUUGACAAAUACCUGUGGCAAGAUGAGCUCGGCCAGCAUUCAGUAAUUGAAGCGAGCAGCAGGAAAGAAGGCAAGCUGUUAUUCAGCCGGAGUGGCCGUCUUUAUGUGAAGUGUGCUCGCUUUCUUCGGAUGGUUGGAUUGCAGUACGUUGGAGAGGUGGUCUGGGAACUGGUGGGCAGCGACAGUAGCACAGGGCCUGCUGUUAGGUUGCACCCCGAUGUGAAGGGCUCCAUUGCCGAGCUCCUUGGUCGGGUUCAUAAUGAUACAAUAGGGGAGAGUUGGUCGUCCUUGUUUGUUGCUAAUGGAGUAGAUGAAUGGCACCUUCCCCAUUGGCAUUUCGACAAUCCUGCAGGUGCAGAACAGCUCUCAUAUUGCUGUUUGUACACACGUUCUGUUAUGAUGUGGCAUGUUGCGACAUGCUACUGCGAACUAGCAGAGCAGGCGAAGCAGAAGGAGCACACAGGAGCAGAAGAAAAGAGUCGGCGCGUGGCCCUGGCUCUGUCCAAGUAUUGCGCCCACUUGCUGGUGUCAGCGCCAGAGUUGCUACCUGGCACGCUUCAGAAAAGGAAAGAAACGUAUGAUGGUGUUGAGUCGGAAGCAAGGAAAGUUCUUCAAGGGGCCAAAGACAAGCUUGAGGCAAUGCAAAGCGAACCCCAUAUCGAUCUCGACAGCCCUAGCAGCAUCUUCUGGGACGGUGUGCGUCUUGCAAAGCAACUUUUUUGUGGGGACAUUGGGGAUCCCUGGAAGCUGCUGGAAGUUUUCUGGGUCCAGGCGUUGCUCUACGCCGCGCCGUAUGGCGACGUGGAGGUGCAUAUGCAGCAUCUCUCGCAGGGUGGCGAGCUCAUCACCCAUCUCUGGGCAUUGUUGUACCACGCCCACAUCUACGGCUGGAAAACUGUAGAGAGAUGGGGAGGGAAGCCGAUGAAGUUGGAGACCGAGGAGGUAGAAGAGAAUCCCAAGGAUGGUGGACAGUUCAAGGGUGACCUUAACACCUGUUCAAAAGCAGAUGAUAAUCCGAGGGGUUCAAUUCCUCUUCAAAGUGCCACCGGCAUAGAAGAGAACUCCAUGGACAUGGAUUCCGAGGUUGAGAUCGAGGAUGACAUCAGUUCCUGUUCAAAAGAUGAUAAUCCGAAUAGGAUUUCAGUUCCUGUGCAAGCUGACAUCCGAUGGAUGUAG